CUUGCCAUGUAGUCCAGGUCAGUCUUAAGUUCAUGUCUCUGUGGUAAGAGCACCUUUGCCAGAAAGGUGAGAUAGUCAGUACUGAGACAGAAGUUGUCUGUCCACCUGUCUCCCAUGGGUGCUGUGACCCUGAGUUCCUCCUGACCCCUGUUCUCCAUUCCAGGGGUGCCUAUUAUUCUCUUUGACUAUACGAAAAGCAGGGUGUCUGGUCAUAGUGGACACAGAUGGAUUUGGGGAGUGUGAGAGAGUGUGUGUGUGUGUGUGUGUGUGUGUGUGUGUGUGUGUGUGUGUGUGCCUGUGAGUGGGCUGGGGCUCACCAGCAGACCAGGGCACAGGAUGGGAGCUUCUGGAUGAAGUGGGUCAAGUCCCGAGUCAGCCCAGAGGAAGCUUCAACCAGACUCCAGUCAGCCUGCACAGUUGGAGCAGCAGUCGUGGUUGUACUCACUGAGGAGCCCAGAGCAGUGCCAGAAAGAGUAAGUAAUAGCAGAGGACCGCAGGGUUCCGUGGGAGGUGGAGGAAGCCAGGGAUGUUCAAUCAGAGCCAGCCUUAGAGUAUGAGAUGGGAGGAAAAUGCAAGAGGGGGUAUCUUUGUGUCUGUCUCUCCCUGGCCUCUACCCACUAUUUGAUGCCCAUAUUUAUAUCCCUGUGCCUUGAACCCUGUCAUCGUGAAGCCAUGGCCAGGGGCUAGAAAUCCCAAAUAGAGCAACCACAGGUGAGCACAAGGACCAAGGUGGCCAACAGCAUGCCCUGUGGUAUAUGCAUGGUGUGUGUCCAAUGUCCCAAAGCAAGCCUGGACAUCAGUGGCCAUGUCAGGGAGAUGGGGAGAGGAUCCUAGGUUCAUAGACUCACAGAGGGAGGCAAGAAGUGCAGGCAGCAAGGGUUUAGACAAGAUGCAAACCCUGCUUCUACUUACAGGUACUCUCUUGGUGUACCCUGGAGAGCUGUGGAAUACACAAGCCCGGGCCUCAGACAACAGAGAUUGAAGGACACUUCAGGCUUCUGGUCCGUAUGCCACUCCCAGAGAACUGAAUAACCUUCCUUGUUCUCAGUCUUCUCCAGGUGCUGGAAUUGCAGGUCUGGCUAAGAAUCUGAGCAAAAUCCUUCCAUGAUCAAGAUUGGGCUCAGCAUAUUUCGAAGCCCUUUUGCAAUCACCCCCAGGAGUUUCUCCCCUUCUUUUCUAAGCCAAUGGCCAUCUGACUGCAAACAGCAGAUGGCGAGCGUGUGCUGGUGCUGCUGAUUCCUGGAUGCCAUGGAAUGGUUUGCAAGGUCUUCCUUCUGUAAAAACCUGUAUCAACUCACCUUCCAGUGUGACCAUUGACAUGGCACCAUGCUCUUCAACUGGUGGGGCAGAGCCCAGUGUGUUCUGGAUGGGAAGGAUCAGUCUGUGGCCACCCCUGCUUACUCUUUCUGCCAUCUUUUCACCAAAUACCCCUUAUAGAUGAAUUUCAAAGCAACUGUGGUUUUCCAUGUUGGCCUCGUCAUCCUUUUCUUCAGCCUCUACUGGAAGACAUCCCCCCAAGGGACACUGGAGUAGGACCAGGGACAAAGACGGAUGGAGCUGUCCUCAUGGAGACUUGGGCAUAGCUGCUGACAGCAUAGCUCUCAGUAGACCGUCUCCCUCAGAGCUGCGGUUCAUCCAAUGAAAGAGGAGAAUCCCCUCCUCCUAGAGUUCAGGAGGAAUGCAGUGGACUCAGGCUUCAUACCCCCUGCUCAUGUGGCCUUAUAACUAUUUAUGUACCACUUGUCUCUACUAGCCAUAGUCCUUUAAUGGAAGGAACUGCCUUCUUUUUGGUGGUCACUGUACUUGGCACCCAUCUCAACAAAUGUGCCUCUAAGACUUGUAUUCUGCAACUUGUGGUCAUGGCCACUGGUAAAGAACAGGUCUGGGUGUGGACAAAGUCAAGAAUGUCUUGCUAUUUGACCUGCAGUGGGAAACUUGCUUGAUUUCCAAUGUAGCUAUGAACAGUUACCUCCUACUCCACAUACAUAGCUUUUCACUUACCACUCUCUGCUCAUGUGGCUUUGUGGUUGUAUGAUUCCAUAGUAUGCUAUUACGGUGAGAGAAAGGGACAUAUGCAUGGCUCAGAAUUGUGUUCUGUCAACUUGUAGAUUUUUCUGCUUUGUUCAAUUGUGUCUUCUAUAAAUAUCAGCAAAUAAAAUUAUCUAAGAUCUAUGAUUCUCCUGUCUCAGUGGGAGACACUAAGAACUCUGAAUGUAAAUAGUGCAAAAAGCUGCUAUAGAGGGAUGGUUGAUCUUUAUUUAGUUCACACAUAGAAGUCUCCUGAUGCCCCGCUUCCCACCCAGCAACGCCUGAGGCAGGUGGGAGAGCUGGCCCUGAGGUCAUAAGAGCUGCCCCUGUCUCUCACCAGCAGCAACACUAGGGAGAGCAGACCUGGUACCUCCCUGGGGCAGCACAAUAGAGCCACUCCUGCUGGUGAAGGUGUGGAUGAG
ensembl:lncRNA